AAAGUACUCCCUCCGUCCCAAAAUUCUUGUCUGAGAUUUGUCUAGAUACGGAUGUAUCAAGUCACAUUUUAGUAUUAGAUACAUCCGUAUCUAGACAAAUCUAAGACAAGAAAUUUGGGACGGAGGGAGUAGUUG
rnacentral:pre_miRNA from 1 species